ACGAAGCCCUGGAAGUCAGCCCGGAGACCGAAAGGACCCACAACGAAGCCCUGGAAGUCGGCCGGGAGACCGACAGGAUCCACAGCGAAGCCCUGGAGGUCAGCCGGGAGACCAGCGGGACUUGCUAUGAAGCCCUGCAGAUCAGCCGGGAGACCAGCGGGACUCGACACAAAACCCUGGAGAUCAGCCCGGAGACCAGCAGGACUUGCUAUGAAGCCCUGCAGGUUGGCCGGGAGACCG